GAUGAACGCUGACAGAAUGCUUAACACAUGCAAGUCAACUUGAACUUCGGUUUGGGUGGCGGACGGGUGAGUCACGCGUAAAGAACUUGCCUCACAGAUAGGGACAACAUUUGGAAACGAAUGCUAAUACCUGAUAUUAUGAUUUUAGGGCAUCCUAGGAUUAUGAAAGCUAUAUGCGCUGUGAGAGAGCUUUGCGUCCCAUUAGCUAGUUGGAGAGGUAACGGCUCACCAAGGCGAUGAUGGGUAGCCGGCCUGAGAGGGUGAUCGGCCACAAGGGGACUGAGACACGGCCCUUACUCCUACGGGAGGCAGCAGUGGGGAAUAUUGGACAAUGGACCAAGAGUCUGAUCCAGCAAUUCUGUGUGCACGAUGAAGUUUUUCGGAAUGUAAAGUGCUUUCAGUUGGGAAGAAAAAAAUGACGGUACCAACAGAAGAAGUGACGGCUAAAUACGUG
rnacentral:rRNA from 1 species